GACGAACCGUGCGAACGUUGUUCGGAAUCACUGGGCGUAAAGGGUGCGUAGGCGGGUCUUUAAGUCAGGGGUGAAAUCCUGGAGCUCACUCCAGAACUGCCUUCGAUACUGGAAGCUCGAGUCCGGGAGAGGUGAGUGGAACUGCGAGUGUAGAGGUGAAAUUCGUAGAUAUUCGCAAGAACACCAGUGGCGAAGGCGGCUCACUGGCCCGGUACUGACGCUGAGGUGCGAAAGCGUGGGGAGCAAACAGGG
rnacentral:rRNA from 1 species